CUCAGUCAUAGCAAAAUACACUGAAGUAAAGUUUUAGUGAUAUAUUGUCAGUUUGGAGAGAAGCACAUAUGCUCACUGAAUAUCUUGGCACAUGGAAUUUAUUUGUUGCCUGACUCGAUGUAACACUUUUUUUAUAUGACCGUAAAGGUUCUCUAGAUGUGAGAAUUCUUUAUAGCUUUUUACAUCCUUUGAUUUUGAUAUCCUUUGAUAUAAAAAUUAUUAUUUCUCAAAAUAAGUUUGCUUAAACUGUAGAAGAACUCAGCGUUCCAAGCUGUUGUGGCUCAGAUUUAUUUCCUUUUGAUAACUGACUCCGGAUGACUUUUUAAAAGAGUUGCUAGAUUUGCAAUAAGGCAAUUAAAUUUAAUCUUUUGAAUUGAUGAAAUUGUUCAUUAUAUGGGCCUCAUUUCUUCAAAUUGUCAUCAAUAGCAAAAAUAUCUAUUCCCUGCCUUAAUCUAUACUCCCUAGAUUACUUUUCCAGUUCUAGCUCUAAUAUUCAUUUGAAUGUUUUCCAGAAUGUUUGAAGCAAGACAUAUACCUUUCAUAGGUGUCAUUGCAGAAUAUAAAAAUAUACAGGAGGGAGGAUAGGUAGAUUCUGGGUUCUUUUAAAUAACCUGCAUUCACAAUAAAUCUAUAGCAUAUGCUAAGGCUAAAAUAUAAUACAUGAAGUUUCUUGUAUUUCCUUCCCAAAGCACAGAUUGAGGGGUGUCUUGAAAUGCCCCAAAGACCACAAAGUACAUAAAAGAAAUAAUCUCUGGAUUUCAGAGCCAUUUUUAAACUUUUUGUUAUAUUCUUUUUGCUUCAGAUGAAGAAAAUUGAAUGAGCGAGCUUGAUUUUACAUAAAGCUCCACAAAAAAAAAAAACCCAUAU